UUAAAAAAUAGUCUUGGGAAUGAUACUCGGUCCCGGGGUGGGGGAGGGGAAGGAAACGAAGGAAGCCACGAGUUGUUGAAGGGGAGUUGACCGGGAAAAUGGCCUUGCUCCUGACCCAAGCUGCUGGAGCCUGCGCCGAAGAGCUCCGUUUUAAAUGGCCCGGCGUCCAAUUUCCCUCACCUCCCCGCUCCGGGUACGGAGAUAAAGAGCGAACGAGGGCCGGCCAUUCCGAGAAGCGAUCUUAACUGACCCAGAGCUUUGCUGCAAGCCUCGGGGAAGGUUCAUUUCUUCCCUUCCGACCCUUGGGCCGGGGGCUGCGGGGCCCGCAAGCAGAGCUCUGCGCCCAAAGCCCGGUGCCCUUUUUCGGCUUUCUCGGUCCCAGAUCUCUAGCCGUCUCCACCUCCACCUUCCUCCCAGACCUUUAAGACCUGGACCUCAAUAAGAGAUCCUGAAAGACUUUCGGCUAAAUGAACCGCUUGCGGGAGAAGCGCUGAAUUUGGAGUCGGGCACGGGGUCAAAAUCCGGAUUCGGCCACUACUGGGGCGUGUGACUUUUGAAAAAUGCACUUCCUAUCCAGCAGUUUGUUUAUCUGAAAUUGGAGUCCUCCUACUCUAUUUAAUAACUUAAUAACUCAGCAAGUGCUUACUUGCUGCACCUGGUCUUGUGCAAAUUGCUUUGUCAGUUUCCUGGUUUGUAAAAUGGGGGUAAUUUACGCUACCUGCCUUAGAGAAUCGUUGGGAGAAUUUUUUUUUUUCUUUUUCAAAUCUUAAAAUAAAGUUAUUCUGUAUUGGGUUUA